rnacentral:tRNA from 1 species
UAGCUCAGUUGGUAGAGUGUUUGCCUUGCAUGCACAAGGCCCUGGGUUCAAUCCCUAG